rnacentral:rRNA from 1 species
CAGCAGCCGCGGUAAUACCGGCGGCCCGAGUGGCGGUCACUAUUAUUGGGCUUAAAGCGUCCGUAGCCGGGUUGGGAAGGCCUCCGGGAAAUCUGGCCGCUUAACGGGCAGAAUUCCGGGAGAUACUGCCAGCCUAGGGACCGGGAGAGGCCGAGGGGAUUCCCGGGGUAGGGGUGAAAUCCUAUAAUCCCGGGAGGACCACCUGUGGCGAAGGCGCUCGGCUGGAACGGGUCCGACGGUGAGGGACGAAGGCCAGGGGAGCAAACCGGAUUAGAUACCCGGGUAGUCCUGGCUGUAAACGAUGCGGACUUUGUGUCGGACAAGCUAUGAGCUUGUCCGGUGCCGGAGGGAAACCGUUAAGUCCGCCGCCUGGGGAGUACGGCCGCAAGGCUGAAACUUAAAGGAAUUGGCGGG